rnacentral:lncRNA from 1 species
AGUCUGACAAACAGCUUUAGUUCUACAACAAAAUAAAUAUUAUAACUCUGAUUUACUCAACAGUGAGACUUGGCUCAAACCACCUAUAGAUAUACAACAUAUGCUGCAUGUCACACCACUUGGAUGCUGUCACUGCGAGUCGUGCAGGAACCAGCCCAAUUUAUUACAAAUACACAGUACAACAUACAGUAAUACAUGCUGGGAUGGGGGCUGUGUGCCCUCACUCCACCUACUCCAUCAAAGCCAGUGGAAACAGCCAAUCUUUAUUGAUAGGGUUUAGUGAUGAAUUCAUGUGUUACAUGCUUCCUGAAGCUCCAGAAAUGAUGAUUGUUGCUACUCGCUGUGCCUCUCAAUAGCAUGUUCUCCCCAAAGUGUACCACAAAAAGCAGUCCAUAGGAAUUGUGGCAUGUAUUGUGGAGCAGGGAUGAAUAUAUGAACACUGAUAGCUGCUGUGUUUUAGACAGUCACGCAGGUCCAGUUAGAACAACCACAUCCCAUUGACUAGAAAGUGAAUUCACCCAUGUGUACUUGUGUAACAGCACUACUUGAUUAUUCCCUGUACCUUGAUUAUACCCUCUCCUUCCUCCUCCUGUAGGUAUCACUUUAAUGUUCUUCCCAAAGGACAAAAAAAUACCAUUUAGCACCCUUAAAGAUCUGUCUCAAGGUAUUUAUAAUGGAGAUGAAAAAGCCAGUUUCAUGCCUGCUUUACAGCUCUUGAACUAAGACAUCUUUGCAUACCACCAACCUCAACAGCAGUGUUACUGGAGCUUGUAGAGACAUCAUGGAUGAUCAACCUGAACAAAAGACCCAGCAACAGACGACAUUGGUUUGAUGCUUCCUGCUGUCCCCAGCAGUGUGUGUUCUCAUCAUCACAAGGAUAUUGUAGUUGAUCAAAACUUGAACACGAUACAAGGGAUGUGUUCCAUUCCCUGCAAACAUUCCAGAACAAGUAUGUGGGCUCCAAUUUGGGCCUUGCUACCAUCUAUUUCUGACACUGUGACACAAC